rnacentral:rRNA from 1 species
UAUUUAAAUAGUUUAGAUUAAAAAUUUUAAAUAGAAUUAGUAAGAGGGUUAGAAGAAUGUUAAAAUAAAUUGUACUGAAAAGGGUGUUUAAAAAAUUAAUGUAUAGUAAAUAUUAAUAAUUGUAUCUUUUGUAUAAUGGGUUGAUAAUAUUAAUAAGUAAAUAUUAGGUUCUCGAAAUAGGAAGAUUUAUUUAUUAUAUUGGUUUGUUAACGUGGUAAAGUUAUAUAUUUAAUAAUAAAUGGUAGUGAAAUGCUAUUCGAUUUUUAUGGUAGCUAGUUUAUUAUAUAGACAUUUGAGUGUGUAUUAUAAUUAAAAUUAUAAAUAAUAAUUGGUUUUGAUAUAAAUUUGGGGGAAAAGCUUCUUGUAAAGUGUGGUGAGAAUUAAAUUUAAUAAAAUAAUUUAGUUUAAGUGAAAUUAAGAGUUUAUCUUAUAAUUAAAAAUAACUUGUAUUUAUUAAUUUUUCUUUAUUUGAGGAUUAAUAAAUUAUUUAUAAUAAUUGAGUAAAUUAUAUAUAAUGUUAAUAUGAGUAUUUCAGUGAAUAUAAAAUAUAUAUAGUUAUAAAGAUAUUAAAUAAAUUUAUCUGGUGAUGUAAUAAUAUUAUUUUAGUUUAAGAUAAUUAAAUAUAGUAAAGGAAUUUAGCAAAUAUUAAUUUCGCCUGUUUAUCAAAAACAUGUCUCUUUGAUUAGAUAUAAUAAAGAGUUGGGCCUGCUCGGUGAUAUUUUUAACAGCUGCGGUAUUAUAACUGUACUAAGGUAGCAUAAUAAUUUGCCUUAUAAAUUAAGGCUAGAAUGAAUGGUUUGACGAAAAUUAAUCUGUCUCUAUUAUAAUUAUUAGAAGUUAAUGUUUAUAGUGAAAAAGCUUAAAUUAUUUAAAGGGACGAGAAGACCCUAUUGAGCUUGAUAUUAAAAUAUAAAUUUUUUUUUAAAGUUAAUAUAAAUUAUGUUUAUGGGUUUUAAAUUUUGAUUGGGGUGAUCAAGGAAUAAAAAAGAUUAAUGUAUAUAUAUUAACUUCCUUAUAUAUAAAUAUUUAUAGAUAAAUAAACCGAGAGUUUUGCUUAAAAGUAAGUUACCAUAGGGAUAACAGCGUAAUUUUUUUAGAGAGUUCUUAUUAAAAAAAAAGAUUGCGACCUCGAUGUUGGAUUAAAAUUACCUUUGGGUGCAGAAGCUCAGAUAGGUGAAUCUGUUCGAUUUUUAAAAUUUUACAUGAUCUGAGUUCAAACCGGUGAAAGCCAGGUUGGUUUCUAUCUUUUAAAUUUAUUUGUUAUUUUAUUUAGUACGAAAGGAUUGAUAUUAAUUAAUAGAUUAUUAAAUAUAUUUAAAAUAUAAAGUUGGCAGAAAAUA